rnacentral:rRNA from 1 species
CCUACGGGUCGCAGCAGUGGGGAAUAUUGCACAAUGGGCGCAAGCCUGAUGCAGCCAUGCCGCGUGUGUGAAGAAGGCCUUCGGGUUGUAAAGCACUUUCAGCGGGGAGGAAGGCGAUAAGGUUAAUAACCUUGUCGAUUGACGUUACCCGCAGAAGAAGCACCGGCUAACUCCGUGCCAGCAGCCGCGGUAAUACGGAGGGUGCAAGCGUUAAUCGGAAUUACUGGGCGUAAAGCGCACGCAGGCGGUCUGUCAAGUCGGAUGUGAAAUCCCCGGGCUUAACCUGGGAACUGCAUUCGAAACUGGCAGGCUAGAGUCUUGUAGAGGGGGGUAGAAUUCCAGGUGUAGCGGUGAAAUGCGUAGAGAUCUGGAGGAAUACCGGUGGCGAAGGCGGCCCCCUGGACAAAGACUGACGCUCAGGUGCGAAAGCGUGGGGAGCAAACAGGAUUAGAUACCCUCGUAGUC